CCUACGGGAGGCAGCAGUGGGAAUAUUGCACAAUGGGCGGAAGCCUGAUGCAGCAACGCCGCGUGCGGGAUGACGGCCUUCGGGUUGUAAACCGCUUUCGCCUGUGACGAAGCGUGAGUGACGGUAAUGGGUAAAGAAGCACCGGCUAACGGGGUGCCAGCAGCCGCGGUAAU
rnacentral:rRNA from 1 species